rnacentral:lncRNA from 1 species
GGACCAAACAGCCCUGACGCGGGGCCUCGGCUAGGUCGUCCUGUCCCGGCAUCUGUGUGAAUUAAUGAAGACACCUCUUCUUUAUGCAGAAGCUGCCUGCCAAGAGCUCCAACUUGGAAAGGUGAGCAGAAGGAAGGACUUUCAGCUUCACUUGCCUCUGGAUCCAGGCUGAACGCCAUGGUUUGCCCCAUAGAGUAGCCGUGGGCAGCAAACUUGGAUUCAUACAGCUGUCCGAGAAAGUUCCUGAUGAAGAAGUGAAUUUAGAUCCACCCUUGAAAAAGAGGAAGGCACAAGGAAGAAAAGUGC